rnacentral:tRNA from 1 species
GCGGGGUGGAGCAGUCUGGUAGCUCGUCGGGCUCAUAACCCGAAGGUCGUUGGUUCAAAUCCAGCCCCCGCU